AAUUCAUGGAAACUUGGGCAUCGUACCACUGACAGCUGGUCGUCAUCGCUCAGCUCUACGAUCACCACAUACAGUCACAACAUUACCAGUUACACACACACACCUACACGAAGGGUCAACCAGUUUCGCCUUGAACCAGCAACUAUGAACUUCAAACUUGUGAUUGCGGUGUUGGUGGUGCUGUUGUCGGCGGUCUUGGGGGCGCCGCAGGUUAACUUGGAAAAGAGGGAAUUCCCCGGACAGAGACGUAAUGGGAAGACCAGAUAUGGUUUCCACUACUUCGGCAAGAAGGGUUACAAAAUUCAACCUUGUUCUAGAAGAAGAGGAAGGCUUGCUUAGAGCCGCCUUAAGCAAUAACAGGAAGGUCUCCUAGAGACUCCAGCGCAACUAUUACCUUUUUGUCAUGGCUCCAGUCAACACCUUCUGUCAUGGAUCCAGUCAACACCUUCUGUCAUGGAUCCAGUCAACACCUUCUGUCGUAGAUCAGUCAGCACCUUCUGUCCAUGGCUCCAGUCAACACCUUCUGUCAUGGAUCCAGUCAACACCUUCUGUCAUGGAUCCAGUCAACACCUUCUGUCAUGACUCCAGUCAACACCUUCUGUCUUGGCCUCCAGUCAACACCUGUUUUGGGCUACACCUUGAAAAAACACAACAAAAUUACUUCCUCAUCUAUCACCUGGCGCGUUUGUAACGUCUACUACCGCACCUACAAGAUGAAGUUGCAUUUGUCCAGUCUAGUGAUCUUUACACCCCGACAGAGGCAAUAGUAGUCUCUGUGCUGCCUCCUCAUCUUCCCUGGUGACCUUCCUGCGGGUGGGACUCGUUAACCGAUUCAUGUUAAACCAAAUCAAAUAUCUUGUGUCAAUUUUUUUUUUCACAUGGGAUAAAAUUUGUGAUCUUUGAUCGCUUGUGAAUGAUAUAAGUGAUGGUGUGUGUGAGUGUGUCAAAAGUGAAUAUGAAUCACAUGGAUUUGACGGUCAGUUAGGAGCAGUGUAGAUGCAACACGCUUGAAUGUUAUGCCCUCGGUAUACAAAGAAGUAGUGUGACCGGCAGUGCACUCGAUAGCCUUCACUUCCCCAGCUGUAAAUGGAGAUACCUAUUCACAGUUGGGUCGACUGAAGGUGCUCCGGGAGCGAACCACCGAUUCUUAGGACGGGGUGAGAGCGCUGUAUCCACUCGGCCACCGUCAACUUAUGAUAUAGUUUAUAAGCAAAUGUGUUUUUAUAAUUUAUAUAUAUAUAGAUAUAUAUAUUUAUACCGUUUUCAUAGGUGU